CGGGGGAGCACCACAACAGGGUGGAGCCUGCGGUUUAAUCGGACUCAACGCCGGGAAACUCACCAGAUAAGACAGCUGAAUGAUAGUCGGGCUGAAGACUCUACUUGACUAGCUGAGAGGAGGUGCAUGGCCGUCGUCAGUUCGUACUGUGAAGCAUCCUGUUAAGUCAGGCAACGAGCGAGACCCACGCCAACAGUUGCCAGCUCGUCCUCCGGGAUGGUGGGGACACUGUUGGGACCGCCUCUGCUAAAGAGGAGGAAGGAAUGGGCAACGGUAGGUCAGCAUGCCCCGAAUUAUCUGGGCUACACGCGGGCUACAAUGGGUGGGACAAUGGGUAUCGACACCGAAAGGUGAAGGCAAUCUCCUAAACCCAUCCGUAGUUCGGAUUGUGGGCUGCAACUCGCCCACAUGAAGCUGGAAUCUGUAGUAAUCGUGUCUCAAAAUGGCACGGUGAAUAUGUCCCUGCUCCUU
rnacentral:rRNA from 1 species